rnacentral:sRNA from 1 species
GAGUCAGGGCUAGGGGCGCCAGGACUUGGGCGUGCAGGACGCCAGGACUUGGGCGUGCAGGACGCCAGAGCUGGGUCAGAACUCGAGCCAGCGGCGCCCGGAGAGAUUCGGAGAUGCAGGCGGCUCGGAUGGCCGCGAGCUUGGGGCGGCAGCUGCUGAGGCUCGGGGGCGGAAGGUCUGUGUGUGACAAGAGGGACGGUGGGCAGCGGCCCUGGGCACCGGGCCGGGACUGAACCCCCACUCCCCACAGCUCGCGGCUCACGGCGCUCCUGGGGCAGCCCCGGCCCGGCCCUGCCCGGCGGCCCUAUGCCGGGGGUGCCGCUCAGCUGGCUCUGGACAAGUCAGAUUCCCACCCCUCUGACGCUCUGACCAGGAAAAAAUCGGCCAAGGCGGUAGGUAGCCCCGAGGCCAGGUGGACCUUAGCCAGACCCAACCAGAGCCCUGAAAUUCGCCUCUCUCUGCCCAGGAAUCUAAGUCCUUUGCUGUGGGAAUGUUCAAAGGCCAGCUCACCACAGAUCAGGUGUUCCCAUACCCGUCCGUGCUCAACGAAGAGCAGACACAGUUUCUUAAAGAGCUGGUGGAGCCUGUGUCCCGUUUCUUCGAGGUAAGGAAUGACUCGGGGCUUGGUCCCUGGUGAGGUGUUUGGAGAUGUUAAGCUCAAAAGGAGCCUGGAUGUGGGAUCCUGUGCCUUCCCCAGGAAGUGAACGAUCCUGCCAAGAAUGACGCUCUGGAGAUGGUGGAGGAGACCACUUUGCAGGGCCUCAAGGAGCUGGGGGCCUUUGGUCUGCAAGUGCCCAGUGAGCUGGGUGGUGUGGGCCUUUGCAACACCCAGGUGAGGGCGCCCUAUCCCACAUCCCAGUAUCCCAUACCCCAGCUUGGCAGACUCAGCUCCUUUGCCAUAGACCUAGA